rnacentral:rRNA from 3 species
CUCUCGGCAACGGAUAUCUAGGCUCUCGCAUCGAUGAAGAACGUAGCGAAAUGCGAUACUUGGUGUGAAUUGCAGAAUCCCGCGAAUCAUCGAGUUUUUGAACGCAAGUUGCGCCCGAAGCCAUUCGGCUGAGGGCACGUCUGCCUGGGUGUCACGCAUCGUUG